GCGGGUUUCAUAUAACGGUUAUUAUGUGAGUUUUCCAAACUCAACAUGAGAGUUCGACUCUCUCAACCCGCACCA
rnacentral:tRNA from 2 species